rnacentral:rRNA from 1 species
UUGACCUCAAAUCAGGUAGGACUACCCGCUGAACUUAAGCAUAUCAAUAAGCGGAGGAAAAGAAACUAACAAGGAUUCCCCUAGUAACUGCGAGUGAAGCGGGAAAAGCUCAAAUUUGAAAUCUGGCAGUUUCUUGAACUGUCCGAAUUGUAAUCUAGAGAAGUGUUACCUGUGCUGGACCAUGUACAAGUCUCCUGGAAUGGAGCAUCACAGAGGGUGAGAAUCCCGUCUUUGACAUGGACUGCCUGUACGAUAUGGUGCGCUCUCGAAGAGUCGAGUUGUUUGGGAAUGCAGCUCAAAAUGGGUGGUAAAUGCCAUCUAAAGCUAAAUAUUGGCGAGAGACCGAUAGCGAACAAGUACCGUGAGGGAAAGAUGAAAAGAACUUUGGAAAGAGAGUUAAACAGUACGUGAAAUUGCUGAAAGGGAAACGCUUGAAGUCAGUCACGUCGGCUGGAAAUCAACUUUGCUUUUGCUUUGUGUACUUUCUGGUUGAUGGGUCAGCAUCAAUUUUGACCAUUGGAUAAAGUCAUUGGGAAUGUGGCAUCUUAGGAUGUGUUAUAGCCCGUUGUCGCAUACAGUGGUUGGGAUUGAGGAACUCAGCACGCCGCAAGGCCGGGUCUUUUGAUCACGUUCGUGCUUAGGAUGCUGGCAUAAUGGCUUUAAUCGACCCGUC